AUUACAUGGCCCAAAAUACAGAUUCUAGAAAGAACAAGAGACUAACACCUAGGAUCUAGUAGAACAUAUGACUCUAUGGAUCAGAAUCAGAUGUAUCAGAGAUGGGAUGGGGAGAUGAUGGAUCACGGCCAAGAGCACGUCCUCUACCCCGUCUGCCUCUGCCACGAGUGGAGGUGCUGGCACGAGCAAGUGGGUGAGAUGAACUUGGAGGCUGAGAACGUUGAGAGGCCAAGGACUGGACUGAAAGAUUGAGCCUGAUGGAAUCAAGAACGUUCAGUGCUCUUGAAGCAGACUGAAGCAGAACAGUGAACUGAGUAGAUGCAUGCUCACUCGAACCUCUGAUCUCUCUCCUCAAUAACUCAUAACCACCCUCCAAUGCACCUCUGAGCCUGCCAGCCUCUGCAGUAAGGUCUGUGACCUCAAUAGUACUCUCCUGUGGCUGAGGAUGGGCCAAAGCUAAGACUUGCCCUUGCAAGUCAAGAACUCUCCCAGUCAGUCUCAAAAUGCAAUCCUCGAGCUACUAAAUCCGAACAGACUGAUCUGAGAUCAACUGAAAAAUAGUGGAGAUAUGGAGAAUCAAGGUCUGAUUAGAUGAAUCUAACGA
rnacentral:lncRNA from 1 species